GAUGAACGCUGGCGGCGUGCCUAAUACAUGCAAGUCGAGCGAACGGACGAGAAGCUUGCUUCUCUGAUGUUAGCGGCGGACGGGUGAGUAACACGUGGAUAACCUACCUAUAAGACUGGGAUAACUUCGGGAAACCGGAGCUAAUACCGGAUAAUAUUUUGAACCGCAUGGUUCAAAAGUGAAAGACGGUCUUGCUGUCACUUAUAGAUGGAUCCGCGCUGCAUUAGCUAGUUGGUAAGGUAACGGCUUACCAAGGCAACGAUGCAUAGCCGACCUGAGAGGGUGAUCGGCCACACUGGAACUGAGACACAGUCCAGACUCCUACGGGAGGCAACAGUAGGGAAUCUUCCGCAAUGGGCGAAAGCCUGACGGAGCAACGCCGCGUGAGUGAUGAAGGUCUUCGGAUCGUAAAACUCUGUUAUUAGGGAAGAACAUAUGUGUAAGUAACUGUGCACAUCUUGACGGUACCUAAUCAGAAAGCCACGGCUAACUACGUG
rnacentral:rRNA from 1 species